rnacentral:lncRNA from 1 species
AGGAAUCUGCCUGACAUAGCAGAUACGUAGGUACACAUUGUAUCUUGUCAUGGGCGAAGGAGGUUAUGCGUGUGUCGGGCCGUCUAUUUAGCGUGCAGCGCCCUUGUUUCUUUUUACACCUUUGAAAGAAAUGACAUGCUAGCGAGGUUUGCUGGAAGCUGUCAUGGUGUGGUCUAGCUGGGACUGUGUUGUCUUUUGGGAGCCGGGAGCUGCUCCGGCUUGUAUCUUCAGAGACCUUGGGGUUUUCUUUUACCGCUGAUAUAUGCUGAUGAUCUACAAAUAAAUGGGCUCAUCACCCAACCUACCAUCAAGCUGCUCUCAAGUUCUUUAUUGCUGUCUUAUCCGUAUUAC